rnacentral:tRNA from 1 species
GCCUGGGUGGCUCAGUCGGUUAAGCGCUGGACUUCAGCUCAGGUCGUGAUCUUGAGGUUUGUAGGUUCGAGCCCUGCAUCAGGCU